rnacentral:rRNA from 1 species
AUUGAACGCUGGCGGCAGGCCUAACACAUGCAAGUCGAGCGAGCGGCGGACGGGUGAGUAAUGUAUGGGGACUGCCCGAUAGAGGGGGCUAACUACUGGGAACGGUGGCUAAUACCGCAUACUAUCGGAUAACCCAUAUGGGAUUAGCUAGUAGGUGGGGUAAAGGCUCACCUAGGCGACGAUCUCUAGCUGGUCUGAGAGGAUGAUCAGCAACACGGGGACUGGGACACGGCACGGACGCCUACGGAGGCAGCAGUGGGGAAUAUUGCACAAGGGGCGCAUGCCUGAUGCAGCAAUGCCGCGUGUAUGAUGAAGGCCUUAGGGUUGUAAAGUACUUUCAGCGGGGAGGGGUUACCCGCAGAAGAAGCAACGGCGAACUCCGUGCCAGCAGCCGCGGUAAUUC